ACAUGCAAGUCGAGCGGAGGAUCACAUGGAAGCCUCGGGUGGAAGAAGUGAAACUUAGCGGCGGACGGGUGAGUAACGCGUGGGUAACCUGGCUCAGUACAGGGGGGAUAACAGAGAGAAAUUUCUGCUAAUACCGCAUAAGCGCACAGCACCGCAUGGUGCAGUGUGAAAAAACUCCGGGUGGUAUGAGAUGGACCCGCGUCCGAUUAGCCAGUUGCGGGGUAACGGCCACCAAAGCGACGAUCGGUAGCCGGCCUGAGAGGGCGGACGGCCACAUUGGGACUGAGACACGGCCCAGACUCCUACGGGAGGCAGCAGUGGGGGAUAUUGCACAAUGGAGGAAACUCUGAUGCAAGCGACGCCGCGUGGGUGAAGAAGUAUUUCGGUAUGUAAAGCCCUAUCAGCAGGGACGAUAAUGACGGUACCUGAGCAAGAAGCCCCGGCUAACUACGUGCCAGCAGCCGC
rnacentral:rRNA from 1 species